UACGUAGGGGGCAAGCGUUGUCCGGAUUUAUUGGGCGUAAAGAGCGUGUAGGCGGCCUUACAGGUCAGCUGUGAAAACUCGAGGCUCAACCUCGAGACGUCGGUUGAUACCGUAAGGCUAGAGUCCGGAAGAGGAGAGUGGAAUUCCCGGUGUAGCGGUGAAAUGCGCAGAUAUCGGGAAGAACACCCGUGGCGAAGGCGGCUCUCUGGGACGGUACUGACGCUGAGACGCGAAAGCGUGGGGAGCGAACAGG
rnacentral:rRNA from 1 species